rnacentral:RNase_P_RNA from 1 species
UUGGUCGACUAGGCAGUCGCUGUUUAAUCGCUUGCGAUUAGAGAGAGGAAAGUCCGGACUUUACAGAGCAGGGUGCCAGGUAACGCCUGGGGGGCGAAAGCCUACGGAAAGUGCAGCAGAAAAUAUACCGCCCCAAAUUGUUUUCAAUUUAGGGUAAGGGUGAAAUGGUGUCGGUAAGAGCGCACCGCGCUGAUGGUAACAUCAGUGGCAAGGUAAACCCCACUCGAAGCAAGGCCAAAUAGGGUUCCUGAAGAUUUUUAUCUUAAGACGUGGCUCGCGUUGGAACCGGGUAGGCUGCUUGAGCGUUUUGGUGACGAAACGCCUAGACGAAUGACUGUCCACGACAGAAUCCGGCUUAUCGGUUGACCACAAAA